UCACUGUGACUGCGGAUUUGGAAGGCUGAGAGUCCUGGGGAGACAUGCUCCGUGGAGACGAAUUUGUUUCUUCCUUUGCAAGAUUCAGAUUCUGCACUUGGGGGCCCAUACAACACACUUCCCUGGGUGCAUGCCACUGCACCACCCCUGCUCCUCAAGGCAGGCGCUCCGGUGCUCACAGGCCAUGGGACAGUCCAGUUCCCUGCAGACCCAGCGGGGCAUGGGCGGACAGAGCCGCACCGUGAAGCCCGCCUGUUAUUUCCAUCGGGUGGUCCUGGAGACGACACGGCUGGGGAAAUGGGUCACCGGAACUCCACGGCGGCCAGACGCCCAUCCAAUUUGCCUGCGGGAACUCGCUCUUCACCUUUUCUUCACAAACUUCUUUCUGGAAGCGUUGGGAUUUAAGCGUCUCCGCCCAGCUCCCAAGGUGCUGUCCCGGACCUGCAGGGUAGCUGAGCGGCUGGAGAUGUCAUUCUCGACAAAGGGUGACACCCCGGCGAUGUAGUCAGGGGCGAACACGUUGGUUUUCUGCCUGGCCUUUUGGGAGAGUCGCAGCUGAGGGAAGCGCUGAUCCUCGGUGAGAUGGGGGUUG
rnacentral:lncRNA from 1 species